ACGCACGCUUGCGGCGUGCUUCACACAUGCAAGUCGGACGGAAAGGCCCUGCUUGCAGGGUACUCGAGUGGCGAACGGGUGAGUAACACGUGGGUGAUCUGCCCUGCACUUCGGGAUAAGCCUGGGAAACUGGGUCUAAUACCGGAUAGGAGCCAUUUUUAGUGUGAUGGUUGGAAAGUUUUUUCGGUGUGGGAUGAGCUCGCGGCCUAUCAGCUUGUUGGUUGGGUAAUGGCCUAACAAGGCGGCGACGGGUAGCCGGCCUGGGGGGGGGGACGGCCACAUUGGGACUGAGAUACGGCCCAGACUCCUACCGGGGGCAGCAGGGGGGAAUAUUGCCCAAUGGGCGCAAGCCUGAUGCAGCGACGCCGCGUGGGGGAUGACGGCCUUCGGGUUGGAAACUCCUUUCGCUAGGGACGAAGCUUUUUGUGACGGUAACUAGAUAAGAAGCACCGGCUAACUACGUG
rnacentral:rRNA from 1 species